GUCGUCUCACUCGCCACCCUCCUCCCAGUUCCCUGCGUGUGGGUUCUGCUUUCGCCGCUAAAGCAGAAGCUGAGAUGGCAUCUGAUGAGGUGACCGGCGGUGGAUACUGAGGCGGCAUGAUGAGCAGCAGAGGGGAACUACAGACUGGAGACAUGAAAUCCGCUUUUCUAGGACGUGCCCCCUCAGUUCUAGCACUGCCUCAGGGGAGCAGCCAGACCAUACGUGGUGCGCAAAGUCAGAAGAACUCUGAGCUAAUCGGGAAAGAAGGGAUGAGGCCAGAGAUCAGGCCACCCAGCCUGGACUCUCCUCCUGGCUGCUCCCUCGCCACGUGCGGUAGGACGCCUCCCAUUCUCGGGGGACAUCUGGUUCAUCGCCACCAAGAUGCUCCCCACGCCCUUGGCUUCGUCUCCCGGUGGAGGCUUACCAUUGAUUUGCUUGCUUGCUUAGUUUUUAAAAACGUUUUAUGGUGGACUAUAUUAAAUAUGCAAAGUGGGGCAAAAAUAGUUAUUUACAGAUAAAAACAAUAAAAUGAGGGGCCGGCCCAGUGGCAUAAUAGUUAAGUUCGUGCACUCUGCUUUGGUGGCCCAGGGUUUGCAGGUUCGGAUCCCAGGCACAGACCUACACACCGCUUGUCAGGCCAUGCUGUGGCGGCGUCCCAUAUAAAGUAGAGGAAGACAGGCAUGGAUGGUAGCCCAGGGCCAGUCUUCCUCAGCAAAAAGAGGAGGAUUGGCAACAGAUGUUAGCUCAGGGCUAAUCUUCCUCACCAAAAAAAAAUAAUAAUAAUAAUAACAAUAAUAAAAUGAACACACAAAAACCUUCCAUUCAGGUAAAAAUCCAGAACUUGACUGGUACCUUAGGAGUCCCUGAAAUCACCAUCAGGCUGAUGAUUGUGUAAAUCAUCCUCUCACUAUAUGCAUGAAACUUUCUUUCAUUAUAUAUAUAUAGUAUAUGUAUAUGUGUUAUCUCUAUAUAGUAUUUUA